rnacentral:rRNA from 1 species
AACGAACGCUGGCGGCAUGCCUAACACUUGCAAGUCGAACGAGACCUUCGGGUCUAGUGGCGCACGGGUGCGUAACGCGUGGGAACCUGCCCUUAGGUUCGGAAUAACUCCCCGAAAGGGGUGCUAAUACCGGAUAAUGUCUUCGGACCAAAGAUUUAUCGCCUUUGGAUGGGCCCGCGUUGGAUUAGCUAGUUGGUAGGGUAAAAGCCUACCAAGGCGACGAUCCAUAGCUGGUCUGAGAGGAUGAUCAGCCACACUGGGACUGAGACACGGCCCAGACUCCUACGGGAGGCAGCUGUGGGGAAUAUUGGACAAUGGGCGAAAGCCUGAUCCAGCAAUGCCGCGUGAGUGAUGAAGGCCUUAGGGUUGUAAAGCUCUUUUACCCGGGAUGAUAAUGACAGUACCGGGAGAAUAAGCUCCGGCUAACUCCGUG